rnacentral:rRNA from 1 species
GGUUUGAUUAUGGCUCAGAACGUACGCUGGCGGCACGCCUAACACAUGCAAGUCGAACGAAGUAGCAAUACUUAGUGGCAGACGGGUGAGUAACAUGUGGGUAUCUGCCCUUUGGCCUGGAAUAACACGAGGAAACUUGUGCUAAUACCGGAUAAGUCUUUACGGAGAAAGCUUUAUGCACCAUUGGAUGAGCCCGCACUUGAUUAGUUUGUUGGUGGGGUAAUGGCCUACCAAGACUGUGAUCAAUAGCUGAUUUGAGAGGAUGAUCAGCCACAUUGGGACUGAGACACGGCCCAAACUCCUACGGGAGGCAGCAGUGGGGAAUCUUGCACAAUGGAGGAAACUCUGAUGCAGCGAUGCCGCGUGAGUGAAGAAGGCCCUUGGGUUGUAAAGCUCUUUCGUCGGGGAAGAAAAUGACUGUACCCGAAUAAGAAGGUCCGGCUAACUUCGUGC